rnacentral:rRNA from 1 species
UGGUCAAUAGCCUAACGGCUGAACCAGCAACUUGAAAGAAUGAAAAACCGGAGUCAUGUUCGGUUACCAUAUUAAUAGAAUAUGGGGCAAAUGCUAAUAGUUCGGGGUGAAUUAUGAUAAUGACAUAAUUUGUUUCCAGGUCUUGACUAACUCAUGUGCCAGCAGUCGCGGUAAGACAUGGAAGGCUAGCGUUAUUCAUAUUUAUUAGGUUUAAAGGGUACCUAGACGGUAGAUAUUCGCUUUUUACUCAAAAGUAGAUUGUACUUAUCUCCUAGAGUUUUAUACAAGGAAGUUCAGAACGGUGAGUGUAGAGAUAGAAUUUGUUGAUACCACUUAGAAACUGGUUUAGGUGAAAACAGGGUCUUAUGUAAAAACUGACGUUGAGGGACGAAGGCUCAACACAAGGAACGGGAUUAGUUACCCCAGUACUGAGAGCAGACAAAGCUGAAUGCCAUAUAUAAGAUGAUUUUUUAUAUAUAAAUGAAAAUAAAAGCAUUUCACCUCAAGAGUAAUAUGGCAACAUAUAAACUGAAAUCACUAGGCCGUUUCUGGAAUUCGUAAUGAAGUAUGUUAUUUAAUUUGAUAAUCCCCAAAGAACCUUACCACAAUGUGUAUAGUUAUAUACGUAAGUAUAUUUCGGACAAGUGUUGCACGGCUGUCUACAGUUGAUGCCGUGAGGAUUGGAGCAAUCCAUUAAUCAACGAAAUCCCUAAUUUUAUUUGAAUUAAAGUACUAUGUUCGGCAUAUAUAACCAUAUCCGAAAUUGUUAGAUGGGAAUAUGACAAGUCAUCGUGGCCAAACAUACAAGUUGAUAGUAUUGUGGGCGAUAAACGUGCCGCAUUAGCUUAGACAAAAAGAUGCAUAAUCGAAAGAUUUAGCUAAUCU